GGAAAUAAGAGCAGAAGCCAUUUCUCUUCAAGAGAAUUCUGAACCCCUGAAUGAGGCUGAGACCUUGAACCCAGAAGCUACUCUAUCUUUGGAAGGGACUGUGAACCUGGAAGACAUUCUCUACCUAGGGGACACAGGUGACUUCGAAGAGACACUUUACAUGGAGGAGCCUGAGAGUCCAGAGGCGAUACUGUAUAUUGAGGAGACUGGGCAGCCAGAGGCACUAUUGGUGGAAGAGCCUGUGAGUGCAAGGGAGAUGCAGUAUGAGGAGACUGAGAAGCCAAAUCUGGAACAGCCUGUGGAUCUAGCAAAGAGCCUGAGCCCAGAGCAAAUUGUCUGUGAGGGAGAGAUGACUGAAAGGGAGGAAAAAUCCAACCCUGAGGAGAACCUCAAACCUGAGCGGAGCCCCAGCCCAGAGGAGAACCUGAGCAUUGAGGAUCUGGAACUGCUAGAGGGCCGUUUCCAGCAGUGUGUGCAAGCAGUGGCCCAGCUGGAAGAGGAGCGGGAUCAGCUCAUCCAUGAGCUGGUGCUGCUCCGAGAACCAGCCCUGCAGGAGGUACAGCAAGUCCAUCAGGACAUCCUGGCUGCCUAUAAGCUGCACGCGCAGGCAGAACUGGAGAGAGAUGGGCUAAGGGAAGAGAUCAGGCUGGUCAAGCAGAAGCUAUAAGGUGACCACAAGGAAUGUGUGGCCUACCAGUACCAGUUGCAAGGUGACCAAGGAAUGUGUGACCUACCAGUACCAGUUGGAGUGCCGUCAGCAGGACGUGGCUCAGUUCACUGAUUUCCGGGAAGUGCUGACCACAAAGGCAGCCCAGCUGUCUGGAGAACUGGCCCAACUCCGGGAUACCUAUCAGAAGCAGAAGGAGCAGUUGAGGCAACAACUAGAAGAGCCUCCAAGCCAGAGGGAUGGGCACUUUCUCCAGGAGAGCCGGCAGCUGUCUGCCCAGUUUGAACAUCUUAUGGCAGAGAGCCGCCAGGGCCUGGAGGAGGAAUAUGAGCCUCAGCUACUGCGGCUCCUGGAGAGGAAAGAAUCGGGGACCAAAGCUCUGCAGAAAACCCAGGCUGAGAUCCAGGAGAUGAAGGAGGCUCUGAGACCCCUGCAAGCAGAGGCCCGGCAGCUCCACCUGCAAAAGAGGAACCUGGAGGACCAGAUCAUGCUUGUGAGGCAAAAACGAGAUGAAGAAGUACAGCAGUACAGGGAACAGGAGGAGGAAAUGGAGGAACGGAAGAGGAAGUUAAGAAGUGGGGUGCAACUCCAACAACAGAAGAACAAAGACAUGGAGCAGCUGAGGAUCAGUCUCGCACAAGAGCUCUCAAAAUAUAAGGCUAUGCUUCCCAAAAGCCUGGAACAGGCUGACGCUCCCACUUCUCAGGCAGGUGGAAUGGAGAAACAGUCUCAAGGGAUUGAACUCAGGACCUUGCACUUGCAAGGCAGGCGCAGCACCACUGAGCUAAAUCCCUGGCCCACAUUUUCCCACAUUUAA
rnacentral:lncRNA from 1 species